UAGCGGCGAGUGAAGCGGCAAAAGCUCAAAUUUGAAAUCUGGCACUUUCAGUGUCCGAGUUGUAAUUUGAAGAAGGUAUCUUUGGGUCUGGCUCUUGUCUAUGUUUCUUGGAACAGAACGUCACAGAGGGUGAGAAUCCCGUGCGAUGAGAUGACCCAGACCUAUGUAAAGUUCCUUCGAAGAGUCGAGUUGUUUGGGAAUGCAGCUCUAAGUGGGUGGUAAAUUCCAUCUAAAGCUAAAUAUUGGCGAGAGACCGAUAGCGAACAAGUACAGUGAUGGAAAGAUGAAAAGAACUUUGAAAAGAGAGUGAAAAAGUACGUGAAAUUGUUGAAAGGGAAGGGCUUGAGAUCAGACUUGGUAUUUUGUAUGUUACUCUUUCGGGGGUGGCCUCUACAGUUUACCGGGCCAGCAUCAGUUUGGGCGGUAGGAGAAUUGCAAAGAAAUGUGGCACUGCUUCGGUAGUGUGUUAUAGUCUUUGUCGAUACUGCCAGCCUAGACUGAGGACUGCGGCUUCGGCCUAG
rnacentral:rRNA from 1 species